UACAGAGGUCCCAAGCGUUGUUCGGAUUCACUGGGCGUAAAGGGUGCGUAGGUGGCCAGGUAAGUUUGGUGUGAAAGCUCGGAGCUUAACUCCGAAAAGUCAUUGAAUACUAUCUGGCUGGAGGGUCGGAGGGGAGACUGGAAUUCUCGGUGUAGCAGUGAAAUGCGUAGAUAUCGGGAGGAACACCAGUGGCGAAGGCGGCUUCCUGGACCGGUUCUGACACUGAGGAGCGAAAGCGUGGGGAGCGAUCCGG
rnacentral:rRNA from 1 species